GGCCGCCAGGGCGGCGUCGGGGAGCCCCGCGGCCUGCAGCGCCGCGACGAGGGCGCGGCGGACCGCCGCGCGCCGGUCGCCGCGGCGGAUCGCUUC
rnacentral:tRNA from 1 species